UACGUAGGGUCCGAGCGUUGUCCGGAUUUAUUGGGCGUAAAGAGCUCGUAGGCGGUUCCGUUAGUCAGAUGUGAAAACUCAGGGCUCAACCCGGAGACGCCAUCUGAUACUGCGGUGACUUGAGUCUGGUAGGGGAACACGGAAUUCCUGGUGUAGCGGUGAAAUGCGCAGAUAUCAGGAGGAACACCGAUGGCGAAGGCAAUCCCCUGGGCCUGUACUGACGCUCAUGCACGAAAGCGUGGGGAGCGAACAGG
rnacentral:rRNA from 1 species